CAGCCGCCACGGGAAUACGUAGGGUGCGAGCGUUAAUCGGAAUUACUGGGCGUAAAGCGAGCGCAGACGGUUAUUUAAGCAGGAUGUGAAAUCCCCGGGCUUAACCUGGGAACUGCGUUCUGAACUGGAUAGCUAGAGUGUGUCAGAGGGGGGUAGAAUUCCACGUGUAGCAGUGAAAUGCGUAGAGAUGUGGAGGAAUACCGAUGGCGAAGGCAGCCCCCUGGGAUAACACUGACGUUCAUGCUCGAAAGCGUGGGUAGCAAACAGGAUUAGAGACCCCUGUAGUCCCUGUCUCUUAUAC
rnacentral:rRNA from 1 species